GCCAUCUCCCCAGCCAGGUGCCACCUGGAAAGGGCCUGGCCUGCAGGCACCGCAGAGCUGGGGACCCUUCGGUCAUCCUGCCCCGUGACCAUGCCGGCUGCCCAACCUGCCAGGAAGAAGUGAGUGUGUGUCCCGCAGACCACAGUGGCUCCCAGGGAGAGGCCUCGGCUGCAGCUGAGCCAGGCAACUUAACCCUCAGUGACCUAUGGGGACAGUACUACUGUCCCUCUCGGUUAAUGAACAGAAACUGGGGCCUCAAAGAAGUAAAGCGGGGGACGGAGGCACAAGCCUGGAACCCCAGCAAUCUGGGAGGCUGAGGCAGGAAGACCACAAGUUCCAGGCCACUCUGGGCUACUAAAUGACUUAGCAAGAUCCUGUCUCAAAAAUAUAAAAAGGGCUGGGGACACAGUUCAGUGCAAAGGCCCUGCGUCCGGUUCCCAGUACCGAAAAAAAGGAAAAAAAGAAAAGGUGAAGUUAUGGAAGGGUACACAGAAGCAAAAGUAAAAAAGACCAACCCACUUCCUGCACAAAACAGAAACAAACGCAUGGCAGAGGGCACCACGGAGUGGAAAGGAAAAUUCAAGAUUAAAAGAGCCAAAACAAAACUGCAAAACGUUGAACCACCACAACACGUAAAGGGAAGUGUGAGCCAACAGAAGACCUGGACUCAACCUCUCCACCACCCUCAGCCCAUGGCAUGCUGACGUCCACCUGGUGUCCAGCAGACCAGGCGC
rnacentral:lncRNA from 1 species